CCAUCGAGUCUUUGAACGCAA
rnacentral:siRNA from 1 species